UCCGGUUUGUACCGGCGGUCUCCCUAGACGUGAUAACUAGGGACAAGGGUUGCGCUCGUUGCGGGACUUAACCCAACACCUCACGGCACGAGCUGACGACAGCCAUGCAGCAUCUGUGCACGCUCCCUUGCGGGUCCCUUCCCUUUCAGGUUGGUACCACGUGCAUGUCAAGCCUAGGUAAGGUUCUGCGCGUUGCAUCGAAUUAAACCACAUCAUCCACCGCUUGUGCGGGUCCCCGUCAAUUCCUUUGAGUUUUAGCCUUGCGGCCGUACUCCCCAGGCGGGGCGCUUAAUGCGUUAGCUCCGGCGCCGAGGGGGUCGAUACCCCCGACACCUAGUCGACAUCGUUUACGGCGUGGACUAC
rnacentral:misc_RNA from 1 species